rnacentral:rRNA from 1 species
UACGUAGGGUCCGAGCGUUGUCCGGAGUUACUGGGCGUAAAGCGCGCGCAGGCGGCGGUGUUGGCCCGGCGUGAAAGCCCCGGCUCAACCGGGAGGUCGUCGGGACCGCACCGCUUGAGGGCGGUAGGGCUGGUGGAAUGCCUGGUGUAGUGGUGAAAUGCGUAGAGAUCAGGCGGAACACCCGUGGCGAAGGCGGCCAGCCUGGGCCGGUACUGACGCUGAGGUGCGAAGCGUGGGAGCAAACAGG